UACGGAGGGUGCGAGCGUUAUCCGGAAUCACUGGGUUUAAAGGGUGCGUAGGCGGCUCGAUAAGUCAGUUGUGAAAGCCCCUUGCUUAACGAUGGAGGUGCGAUUGAUACUGUCGAGCUUGAAUCGGGAUGAGGCAGGCGGAAUUUAGCAUGUAGCGGUGAAAUGCAUAGAUAUGCCAUAGAACACCGAUUGCGAAGGCAGCCUGCUGGGCCUGUAUUGACGCUGAGGCAAGAAAGCGUGGGGAGCAAACAGG
rnacentral:rRNA from 1 species